rnacentral:rRNA from 1 species
CAUGAAGUCGGAAUUGCUAGUAAUCGCAGAUCAGCAUGCUGCGGUGAAUACGUUCCCGGGCCUUGUACACACCGCCCGUCACACCAUGGGAGUCGGUAACACCCGAAGUCGGUAGCCUAACCGUAAGGAGGGCGCCGCCGAAGGUGGGAUUGAUGACUGGGGUGAAGUCGUAACAAGGUAGC